rnacentral:lncRNA from 1 species
AUGUUUGUAAUAUUUCAGAAGUUGGCAGAAAAAGAAAAUAAAAAUAAAAAAAAAUAGAAAAAGAAAAUGAAUGAAAAAAAUAUAAGGAUGUCAAUGCAUACUCCUUCUGAAAAAGAAAAGAAAAAAAAAGAGAAAGGAAAAGAGAAAACAGUUGCUAUAGAGUUGUUGAAGUGAAUGAAAUCUUUUGUAAAUUCAACUUCCGCAGUUUCUUUCAAGUCUCUUUUGUCUCUUUGAAUUUUAG